CGGAUUGUAGUCUGCAACUCGACUACAUGAAGCUGGAAUCGCUAGUAAUCGCGAAUCAGAAUGUCGCGGUGAAUACGUUCCCGGGUCUUGUACACACCGCCCGUCACACCAUGGGAGUUGGGAAUGCCCGAAGCCGGUGACCUAACCGAAAGGGAGGAGCCGUCGAAGGCAGGCUUGAUAACUGGGGUGAAGUCGUAACAAGGUAGC
rnacentral:rRNA from 1 species